AUUGAACGCUGGCGGCAGGCCUAACACAUGCAAGUCGAGCGAGCGGCGGACGGGUGAGUAAUGUCUGGGAAACUGCCUGAUGGAGGGGGAUAACUACUGGAAACGGUAGCUAAUAACGCAUACCAUCAGAUGUGCCCAGAUGGGAUUAGCGAGUGGGUGGGGUAACGGCUGACCUAGGCGACGAUCCCUAGCUGGUCUGAGAGGAUGACCAGCCACACUGGAACGGAGACACGGUCCAGACUCCGACGGGAGGCAGCAGUGGUGAAUAUGGCAGAAGUGGCGAAAGUCUGAUGCAGCGAUGCAGCGUGUGUGAAGAAGGCCGUCUGGUGGUAAAGCACCUUCAGCGGGGAGGCGUUACCCGCAGAAGAAGCACCGGCGAACUCCGUGCCAGCAGCCGCGGUAAUUC
rnacentral:rRNA from 1 species